CCGGGUCGCCUUACCUCCUGACCUUCAGCUGGGGCCCAGCGAUCCGCUGCGAUUAGCAUCUCGCCACCCACAGCGAACAAACAGCUCUCUGUGUGCCCGCCCCGCUGGGCCCACUGUAGGGCCCUGCAGGAAGCAGGAUGUUGACCCAGAGGCAGCACCCUGUGGCUCCCUCCGGUGGACCCGGCCACGUAUGAGUAAACUGAGGCUCAAAGAGGCAGAGGGACGUGUCUGCAGCCGCACAGCUACAGCAAGUGUGGACCCGGCCUGCAAACGUGGGCCGUGUGUUUCCCGCUCCGCCCCUCAGCGACAGUGGACGCGUGGCGAGUAGUUCUUAAAAAUCGCUCCCCUGGAUGCCUUGAAGUGGAGGCACUGGACUUUGUCUGGAUCCUUAGACCUGAUUCUCCUCGUCCCACCAACAAGGGCCUCCUUUUUGGGGUGGGGGGGCCUUCCACGCACCUCUCUACAACGUGGGGGGAGGUGGACAUCAAUGACGCUGCCACAAGGAGCCUUGCCCAAUGUCAGACCCUUUCUCCAAACACAAGCCAUUGACUGGGCCCCAUCUGGGGCAGAAUGCCCUGGUGCAGGCCCGGCCGCCCUGAACCGGGGAUCAGGUUCACUUCACCCCUUGUGUACGUGGAGAGGCCCCAAGGUCACAGACCUGGGGUAACAGUGAGCACUGUCCACACCCAGAAGCUGAGAUCAGCUUUUGGGGUGCCCUUUCUUCAGCCAUUUACUAGUUUCCUAUAAUAAUGGUAAUAAUAACUACCCCAGCCUAAGCUUUCUAGUUCACAAAGUACUUUCACAAACCUUCUCCUGUCUAAUCCUCCCCCUAGCCCUUUGAUGAGGAGCCAACAUGCCCAUUUUAUAGAACCAGACACUGCAGCUUGGGGAAGGGGGGAGUGCUGGGGUGGCCUCAGAUCGCAGGGCCCGGAAGUGGUCCCGGGUCCCCAGCCCCUGUCCGGACGCCCCUCCCCAGCAUCGGCCCUUCUCAGAGGAGCGUAGGGGGCCCGGGACUUCUCUGGGCCAGGCCCCCACCCGUGGGUCAGUGGUGUGACCAGGCUCCCUGCCUUGUCACCCAGGAGCAGUGAGAAGACUGCUCCCCACCCUCCCCUCCUGCAGACAGUGCAGGUGGGGUGGCUGGGAAGAGGUAAGGAGGCAGAAGUGGCUGCUGCACGGGCACACUGGACAGAAAGGGCUGGGGAGAGGGCCCCUGCUGGCUGCCCUUGGCCUUGGGCCCAGCAGAGAAGUGGAAGGGACCGGCAGUUCCUGGAACACGAGCCCAUUGAUGGGGCACCCAGGGCCAGCUGUUGCCGUGUUCUCAUCUGCUUGUGGCAAAAACACAAACCAGCAAACAACACAGGGAGGUUUUCAUGAAGCUAGAACUGUGCCCCCAUGUGUGUUUUCAACCAUGCGUGCACGUGCACACAUGUGUGUUUAAAAGGGCCUUUCCUUGGACACUUCCUUUCAAGGUCCUUAACUCAGCAACAUGAAAAACUGGUGACCACGUCA